rnacentral:rRNA from 1 species
GCUGUCGUCAGCUCGUGUUGUGAAAUGUUGGGUUAAGUCCCGCAACGAGCGCAACCCUUAUCCUUUGUUGCCAGCGGUCCGGCCGGGAACUCAAAGGAGACUGCCAGUGAUAAACUGGAGGAAGGUGGGGAUGACGUCAAGUCAUCAUGGCCCUUACGACCAGGGCUACACACGUGCUACAAUGGCGCAUACAAAGAGAAGCGACCUCGCGAGAGCAAGCGGACCUCAUAAAGUGCGUCGUAGUCCGGAUUGGAGUCUGCAACUCGACUCCAUGAAGUCGGAAUCGCUAGUAAUCGUGGAUCAGA